CUUGAAUGCCUGCAGGGAUGGGGCAUCCACAGCCUCCUUGGGCAACCUGUGCCAGUGCGUCACCACCCUCUGGGAGAAAGAGAUCAGCAUCCUUCCUGCCCAUUGAACAUCCCUUCCUCCCUCCAACUACCCCAGCCAGCAGCCUCCAUUUCCUCACGGCAAAGCAUCAUCUCUCUAUCCCCACCCCCCCUCCAAGGGUGAACCGGCCCAGGAGCGGCUGCCUCCCCACAAAUCAAAACUACGAGCAAAGUUAACUUCUGUCUGCUCCCAUUUUCCCGCAGCCGAGCAGGAGGUUUGGCUUCUCUUGGCAGAGGCAGCUCCUUAUCUGAUCGCAGCGCUGGAACGGGGGAGAGCAGAGGGCUUUGAAGGCAGCGCAGGAGCCGGCAGAGAUUCGGAUUCCAAAACCCAUCCUCCCUUUGAAGCAAGGAGUUAAAGUGUGUUUCUAAAAGCCACCGAGUCCCAGAGCAGCCCAUGACAGAGUGCACGGCCACUGCUCUGCUGUUGUGUCAUCAGCUGCAAUUAGGUGAGUCAUGGCAGCGCUGCUCCAUCUCUGCACUGUGCUUGGUGCCCUAUUGCUGCCCUCCAGGCUGUGCCAUCUAAACACGUUAUGGAGGCUUUUCAAGUGCCUCAAGCAGGAGAAGGAGGGAAUUAUGUAAGGACAAUGAAAAACAGGCAUUGGUAUCCCAGCAGUGAUCUGCAGUCAUUACUGAGGUAGGUUUAGGUGCAGCCAGUGCUGCUCGUGCUGAGCGGAUCUGACAGCAAACGCCUCCAAAGAUCAGCUGUGCCAUCAGGAAGGCAGCCUGACCUCUGCCUACUGUGCCAGCACAGACCUGCUGUACCCACAAACCAUUCACACACCAUAAAAGCCCAAACUGGGAAUUCUCUGCUGUGAACCUAUGGUAGGGAAUGAAAACAACCUGGAGUAGAGGUUGAUCGGGAAAGCACGGAUACCUGCCUGCUCCUCCAGCAGCAAGGAGGGUUGGGCUCAGUGCUGUGCCCCAAUGUCAGAGCCAGGCCCCGGGAACACAGCCCAGCCCUGAGGGAGCCCUUGCAGCCAUUUCAGCCCUCAGCUGCUCUGUGGGUUGGUCAGUGGGGUUUGUUCUGUUGGUGACAAGGCUGCCCAGCCCGCUGUGGGGGGACAAAUUCGGCUCUUUCCCUUUUUAAAUAGAUCGGGAACGGACGAUCUCAGCUUUUGUACAUUAAUCUAAACAUAAGUGGCUGAAUAUUAUCUAGAUAACUGCUUUUAAAAUUCCUCUCUUCCUACAUGAAUUGUAAACAAGUAGAAAAUUUAAAUAGUAUUUUGUAAAAAAAAA